GACGAACGCUGGCGGCGUGCUUAACACAUGCAAGUCGAACGAAGAGCGAUGGAAGCUUGCUUCUAUCAAUCUUAGUGGCGCACGGGUGUGUCACGCGGAAUCAACCUGCCCUUCAGAGGGGGACAACAGUUGGAAACGACUGCUUAUACCACAUACGAUCUAAUCUCGGCAUCGAGGAUAGAUGAAGGGUGGCCUCUCCAUGUAAGCUAUCACUGAAGGAUGGGAUUGCGUCUGAUUAGCUAGUUGGAGGGGUAACGGCGCACCAAGGCGAUGCUCAGUAGCCGGUCUGAGAGGAUGAACGGCCACAUUGGGACUGAGACACGGCCCAGACUCCUACGGGAGGCAGCAGUGGGGAAUCUUCCGCAAGGGACGAAAGUCUGACGGAGCAACGCCGCGUGAGCGAUGACGGCCUUCGGGUUGUAAAGCUCUGUUAAUAGGGAAGAAAGGCCGUCUUGCGAAUAGGGAGAAGGAUUGACGGUACCGGAAGAGAAAGCCACGGCUAACUACGUG
rnacentral:rRNA from 1 species